rnacentral:rRNA from 1 species
GGUGAAAUUCUUGGACCGUCGCAAGACGGACAGAAGCGAAAGCAUUUGCCAAAAACGUUUUCAUUGAUCAAGAACGAAAGUUAGAGGUUCGAAGGCGAUCAGAUACCGCCCUAGUUCUAACCAUAAACGAUGCCAGCUAGCGAUCCGCCGACGUUCCUCCGAUGACUCGGCGGGCAGCUUCCGGGAAACCAAAGCUUUUGGGUUCCGGGGGAAGUAUGGUUGCAAAGCUGAAACUUAAAGGAAUUGACGGAAGGGCACCACCAGGAGUGGAGCCUGCGGCUUAAUUUGACUCAACACGGGAAACCUCACCAGGCCCGGACACCGGAAGGAUUGACAGAUUGAGAGCUCUUUCUUGAUUCGGUGGGUGGUGGUGCAUGGCCGUUCUUAGUUGGUGGAGCGAUUUGUCUGGUUAAUUCCGAUAACGAACGAGACUCUGGCCUGCUAACUAGGCGUAUUUCCGACAUCUCGAAGGCCCGUCGGCUCGGCGUGCUCGCACGCCUUGUCGCACGCGGUUUUUACUGUCGGCGUACAAACAAUUCUUCUUAGAGGGACAGGCGGCUUCUAGCCGCACGAGAUAGAGCAAUAACAGGUCUGUGAUGCCCUUAGAUGUUCUGGGCCGCACGCGCGCUACACUGAAGGAAUCAGCGUGUCCUCCCUUGCCGAGAGGCACGGGUAACCCGCUGAACCUCCUUCGUGCUAGGGAUUGGGGCUUGAAAUUGUUCCCCAUGAACGAGGAAUUCCCAGUAAGCGCGAGUCAUAAGCUCGCGUUGAUUACGUCCCUGCCCUUUGUACACACCGCCCGUCGCUACUACCGAUUGAAUGAUUUAGUGAGGUCUUCGGACCGGCACGCGGUGGCGUUUCGACGUCGCCGAUGCUGCUGGAAAGAUGACCAAACUUGAUCAUUU